rnacentral:rRNA from 1 species
GAAGAAAGAGGGGGGCGUGCUUAACACAUGCAAGUCGAACGGAGAGGCCCUGCUUUUGUGGGGUGCUCGAGUGGCGAACGGGUGAGUAACACGUGAGUAACCUGCCCUUGACUUUGGGAUAACUUCAGGAAACUGGGGCUAAUACCGGAUAGGAGCUCCUGCUGCAUGGUGGGGGUUGGAAAGUUUCGGCGGUUGGGGAUGGACUCGCGGCUUAUCAGCUUGUUGGUGGGGUAGUGGCUUACCAAGGCUUUGACGGGUAGCCGGCCUGAGAGGGUGACCGGCCACAUUGGGACUGAGAUACGGCCCAGACUCCUACGGGAGGCAGCAGUGGGGAAUAUUGCACAAUGGGCGGAAGCCUGAUGCAGCAACGCCGCGUGCGGGAUGACGGCCUUCGGGUUGUAAACCGCUUUCGCCUGUGACGAAGCGUGAGUGACGGUAAUGGGUAAAGAAGCACCGGCUAACUACGUG